ACUCCUACGGGAGGCAGCAGUGGGAAUAUUGCACAAUGGGCGCAAGCCUGAUGCAGCCAUGCCGCGUGUAUGAAGAAGGCCUUCGGGUUGUAAAGUACUUUCAGCAGUGAGGAAGGUGGGUAUGUUAAUAGCAUACUCAUUGACUGUUAGCUGCAGAAGAAGACAACCGGCGUAACUCCGUGCCAGCAGCCGCGGUAAUACGGAGGGUGCGAGCGUUAAUCGGAAUUACUGGGCGUAAAGCGCAUGCAGGUGGUUUGUUAAGUCAGAUGUGAAAGCCCGGGGCUCAACCUCGGAAUUGCAUUUGAAACUGGCAAACUAGAGUACUGUAGAGGGGGGUGGAAUUUCAGGUGUAGCGGUGAAAUGCGUAGAGAUCUGAAGGAAUACCGGUGGCGAAGGCGGCCCCUGGACAGAUACUGACACUCAGAUGCGAAAGCGUGGGGAGCAAACAGGAUUAGAUACCCUGGUAGGCUCU
rnacentral:rRNA from 1 species